rnacentral:tRNA from 1 species
UGUAUGUAAUUUAAAAAAAAUAUCAAGCUGUGACCCUGACAAUGGGAAUUUCCUCAAAUAG